rnacentral:siRNA from 1 species
UAAAUUGAUAGGAUGAGAGG